AUAACGACUCUCGGCAACGGAUAUCUCGGCUCUCGCAUCGAUGAAGAACGUAGCAAACUGCGAUACUUGGUGUGAAUUGCAGAAUCCCGUGAACCAUCGAGUCUUUGAACGCAAGUUGCGCCCGAAGCCAUUAGGCCGAGGGCACGUCUGCCUGGGCGUCACGC
rnacentral:rRNA from 1 species